GACGAACCGUGCGAACGUUAUUCGGAAUCACUGGGCUUAAAGCGCGUGUAGGCGGAUGGGAACGUCGGUAGUUGAAAGCCCCCGGCUCAACCGGGGAAGUGGUGCCGAAACGACCCGUCUGGAGGGACGUAGGGGGACCUGGGAACUUCCGGUGGAGCGGUGAAAUGCGUUGAGAUCGGAAGGAACGCCCGUGGCGAAGGCGGCUCUCUGGUACGUGACUGACGCGUGACGACGGCGA
rnacentral:rRNA from 1 species